GGAAGUAAAAGUCGUACAAGGUUUCCGUAGGUGAACCUGCGGAAGGAUCAUUAUUGUAUAACCGAGGUGCGAGGGCUGUCGCUGACCCGAAAGGUCGUGCACGCCCGAGUGCCCUCACACACAUCCAUCUCACCCCUAUGUGCACCACCGCGUGGGUCCCCCUUUGGCUUGUUCGGAGGGGGGCUUACGUUUUCACACAAACUUUGUAUGCAGUGUAGAAUGUAUUUUUUGUUUUUGCGAUCACGCAAUCAAUACAACUUUCAACAACGGAUCUCUUGGCUCUC
rnacentral:misc_RNA from 1 species